GACGGGGUAGCCAAGUGGUAAGGCCGAGAUCUGCAAAAUCUCCGUUCGUGGGUUCGACUCCCGCCCCCGUCU
rnacentral:tRNA from 1 species